GGGCCCGCACAAGCGGUGGAGCAUGUGGGUUAAUCGGAUGAUACGCCGAGAACCUUACCAGGGCUUGACAUGGCUGUGACCGCCUAUGAAAGUAGGUUUUCUACGCAAGUAGACACAGUCACAGGUGGUGCAUGGUUGUCGUCAGCUCGUGCCGUGAGGUGUUGGGUUAAGUCCCGCAACGAGCGCAACCCUCGCCGGAUGUUGCCAUCAGGUUAUGCUGGGCACUCUUCCGGGACUGCCCGAGCAAUCGGGAGGAAGGAGAGGACGACGUCAAAUCGGCAUGCCCCUUACGCCCUGGGCUGCACACGUGCUACAAUGGCGAGGACAAAGGGUUGCUAAACCGCGAGGUGGAGCCAAUCCCCCAAACCUCGUCCCAGUUCGGAUCGGAUGUCUGCAACUCGACUCCGUGAAGCCGGAAUCGCUAGUAACCGUGGAUCAGCAAUGCCGCGGUGAAUACGUUCCCGGGCCUU
rnacentral:rRNA from 1 species